UGAGGAAUAUUGCGCAAUGGGCGAAAGCCUGACGCAGCGACACCGCGUGAAGGAUGAAGGCUUUAGGGUCGUAAACUUCUGUUAAGUGGGAAGAAAAAAGUAGUUAUAAUACAGCUGCGUAAUGACGGUACCACUAGAGAAAGCACCGGCUAACUUCGUGCCAGCAGCCGCGGUAAGACGAGGGGUGCAAACGUUAUUCGGAAUGAUUGGGUGUAAAGGGUGCGUAGGCGGUAUGCUAAGUCAAUCGUUAAAUUUUUCGGCUUAACCGAAAGUAAGCGGUAGAAACUGGCGUACUUGAGAAUGAGAGAGAGAAGUAGAAUUCUUGGAGUAGCGGUAAAAUGCGUAGAUCUCAAGAGGAAUACCAAUGGCGAAGGCAGCUUCUUGGCUCAUUUCUGACGCU
rnacentral:rRNA from 1 species